CCCUGCACCUUUCAGAUUGGAAAAUAUUAAAGACGAAGAAGGCAAGGAACAACUUUUGUCAUGGUGGAGGGAGCGUGGCAAGGCUUUUCCAACACUUUCAAUUAUGGUCCGAGAUAUCCUGGCUAUUCAAGCAUCAUCAGUAGCAUCGGAGA